rnacentral:rRNA from 1 species
UACGUAGGGGGCAAGCGUUGUCCGGAUUCAUUGGGCGUAAAGAGCUCGUAGGCGGUUCGGCAAGUCGGGGUGUGAAAAACUCUAGGCUCAACCUAGAGACGCCACCCGAUACUGCUGUGACUUGAGUCCGGUAGGGGACCACGGAAUUCCCGGUGUAGCGGUGAAAUGCGUAGAUAUCGGGGAGGAACACCUGUGGCGAAAGCGGCUCACUGGACCACAACUGACGCUGAGGCGCGAAAGCUAGGGGAGCAAACAGG